GACGAACGCUGGCGGCGUGCUUAACACAUGCAAGUCGAACGGAAAGGCCCUGCUUUUGUGGGGUGCUCGAUUGGCGCACGGGUGAGUAACACGUGAGUAACCUCCCCUUAACUUUGGGAUAACUCCUCGAAACAGGGGCUAAUAUCGGAUAGGAGCUCCUGCUGCAUGGUGUGGGUUGGAAAGUUGCGGCGGUUGUGGAUGGACUCGCGGCUUACCAGCUUGUUGGUGGGGUAGUGGCUUACCAAGGCUUUGACGGGUAGCCGGCCUGAGAGGGAGACCGGCCACAGUGGCACUGAGAUGCGGCCCGUACUGCAACGGGAGGCAGCAGUGGGGAAUAUUGCACAAUGGGCGGAAGCAUGAUGGAGGAUCGCCGCGUGCGAGAUGACGGUCUUCGGGUUGUAAACCACUUUCGCGUGUGACGAAGCGUGAGUGACGGUAAUGGGUAGAGAAGCACCGGCUAACUACGU
rnacentral:rRNA from 1 species